AUUGUUAAUGAUUUAACAUUGUUUAUAGAAUGGUGAUGGAACAGUUCUUUGUGGCUGUGCUAAUGAUGUCUGCACACCUAGCAGUCUCAUAUCCUCUGACUACAGAGAGCUAUUACAUGGAUGGAGGGAGACAAUGCAGACUGUGUCCACCAGGUCAUUAUCAGAAGUCCUGUUCAGAGUGCUCUCCCUGUCGAGAUGGUUCCUACACAACACGAUUGAACGCAGAGUCCAGUUGUCAUUCCUGCUUCAAAGACUGCA